AGAUAAAGGUUUUCCCUGAUCAGUCGUGCCUAAGGCAUGGUGCUCAUCUCCAUUUCCUAGCUGAGGGAGCCAGUGUUGUCUGAAGACACUUCUGUGAUCAUGUGGCCAGCAUGACUAUAAAUUGAGUGUGGAAGAAAAAACCUAGGUGAAAUGCUUCAUGAGAAAGUGGCAUUUGGUUAAGAAGAAGCUGUUUGUACCAUCUACCAAGUAUGGCUUUGUACUAUCCUGGCAUGUUUCAGAAUUUUCCUUAUGCGUUCCUGUCCCAGGUUCCGAUGCACAACACUUACAAUCCUCUUGCUAUCAUGGACUAUAAUAUGGACUAUGGUUACAAUAACAGUUUAUCCAACCAAAUGGAGUACCAUCACCUCUAUGGUCAAAGUCCUUUUUUUUACCCUUACUCUUUCUGGCACUUUCCCCAGGUGAGUUCUGUUCCUCUGUACCAGCCUUACAGUAACUAUCAUCCUCAUAGGGCAGUCCAGAGACCAAGCUGGGACCUGUGGCCUGAAGGGUUUGUUCUGAGAGGAGAGCUCCACUGGGGUAGGCUUGAACGUGUCGUUGGGCCUAGGAGGGAGUUGCCAGACUUUGUGAAAGAUGAUCUCAGAAGAGUCUAUGGCACGUAUCCAAAGACAGAUGUUUCCAUAAUGUAUCAGAAUGGUGAAUUUAUUGUAAAAGGAAACCCCAGGGUAGGAGAACAAGAAUACAAGAUAGAGAAGAAAAUCAUAAGAAGAGAGCCCACCCCAACUGCCAGUGAAGCUGAGGAUAGCGGUGAAGAGCGGAACAGAAAGAAGAAAAAGAAAGAAAAGAGAUGAUGUAGUUGGAUUAAACUAUACUGACUGAAAAAGCACUCAUCUCUGCUGCUGUAAGAGCCAAUGAUAUCUAUAAUGAAAACUGAGCUACAAGCACAAUACUGGGGUAGUGAAAAAUAGUAUUUGAUUAAAAUUUGUACAGAUGUCAAUUGCUUCCUUUGCAGCCAGUAAUCACAGAGGUGUGUGUGGGGGUGGGGGUGUAUUCACUAAUAUUGCAUGUAUAAUUGAUUUUGUAUUCUUGCUUGUUUAGGCAGUAUUUGAAAUGAUUCUUGCAUUGAAAGGCCAUGCCAAAAUCAGAAUUGCUGCUAACCUUAACUUUAAAUUCUUCCCAAUGAUUUUUUCUGUCAUAUAUAUAUGGGGUAAGAAGGAAGGGAGGCACUAACUACUAAACCAAAUAACCAUAAGAUAUUCACUAUGAAUCUACUUAGAAAUUAAACCUGAAAUGACUGUACAAGAUAAUAGUGUAUUUCAUCAUCAUCUAUUUUUUCACCUGUAAUUUCAGAUACACAGAAAGGAAACAUUAGGGGAGGAUUAUCAUUUAGGUUAUUAAGCAUUAACUCUUGAAAUAGCCUUUUGAAUAUCUUCUGUGCCAUUGAUUAUUCCUUGAAUCUCAAUGUUUUAUUUACAAAGUUAUGAUUGACUAUUAGAUCGAAACGUAAUUUGUACACAAGCUACCUGAGCAAUUUUAAAUAAAAACAAGCAUGUUCUA